rnacentral:rRNA from 1 species
AACGUAGGGGACAAGCGUUAUCCGGAUUUACUGGACGUAAAGCGCCCGUAGGCGGCCUGAUAAGUUGGACGUGAAAGCUCCCGGCUUAACUGGGAGAGGCCGUUCAAAACUGUGAGGCUAGAGUGAGGCAGAGGAGCGCGGAAUUCCCGGUGUAGUGGUGGAAUGCGUAGAGAUCGGGAGGAACACCAGUGGCGAAAGCGGCGCUCUGGGCCUAAACUGACGCUGAGGGGCGAAAGCGUGGGGAGCGAUCCGG